rnacentral:rRNA from 1 species
UACGUAGGGUGCAAGCGUUAAUCGGAAUUACUGGGCGUAAAGCGUGCGCAGGCGGUUUUGUAAGUCUGACGUGAAAUCCCCGGGCUCAACCUGAGAAUUGCGUUGGAGACUGCAAGGCUGGAGUCUGGCAGAGGGGGGUAGAAUUCCACGUGUAGCAGUGAAAUGCGUAGAGAUGUGGAGGAACACCGAUGGCGAAGGCAGCCCCCUGGGUCAAGACUGACGCUCAUGCACGAAAGCGUGGGGAGCAAACAGG